AGUCAUAUGUUUGUCUCAAAGAUUAAGCCAUGCAUGUGUAAGUACACACCGACACAAGGUGAAACCGCGAAUGGCUCAUUAAAUCAGCUGUGGUUCAUUGGAUCUUAAACCCACUUACUUGGAUAACUGUGGUAAUUCUAGAGCUAAUACAUGCCUCCAGUCUCUGACCGCAAGGGAAGAGCGCUCUUAUUAGUCCAAAACCGGCCGGGCCCCGGUCCGCAAGCCGAAGGUGGUGAAUCUGAAUAAUUUUGACCUGAGCGCACGGUCUCCGCACCGGCGCCGUAUCUUUCAAGUGUCUGCCUUAUCAGCUUUCGACUGUAGGUUAUGUGCCUACAAUGGCUAUAACGGGUAACGGGGAAUCAGGGUUCGAUUCCGGAGAGGGAGCCUGAGAAACGGCUACCACAUCUAAGGAAGGCAGCAGGCACGCAAAUUACCCACUCCCGGCACGGGGAGGUAGUGACGAAAAAUAACGGUGCGAGACUCAUCCGAGGCCUCGCAAUCGGAAUGAGUACACUUUAAAUCCUUUAACGAGGAUCGAUUGGAGGGCAAGUCUGGUGCCAGCAGCCGCGGUAAUUCCAGCUCCAAUAGCGUAUAUUAAAGUUGUUGCGGUUAAAAAGCUCGUAGUUGGCACUCUGUUCCGGACUGACGGUGCACCGCCCGGUGUCUCUCCGUCACGCUCCGAACAGCAGGGCCGACCCUGCCCAGCCGGCUCGCACGGGGUGCUCUUCACCGAGUGUCCCUUGUGGCCGGCGAGUUUACUUUGAAAAAAUUAGAGUGCUCAAAGCAGGCUACGUGAACGGCCUGAAUGCUUGAUGCAUGGAAUAAUGGAAUAGGACCUCGGUUCUAUUUUGUUGGUUUUCGGAUCCAGAGGUAAUGACGAAUAGAAACAGGCGGGGGCAUUCGUACUGCGACGCUAGAGGUGAAAUUCUUGGACCGUCGCAAGACGAACUACUGCGAAAGCAUUUGCCAAGGAUGUUUUCAUUAAUCAAGAACGAAAGUUAGAGGUUCGAAGGCGAUCAGAUACCGCCCUAGUUCUAACCAUAAACGAUGCUGACCAGCGAUCCGCCGGCGUUAUUCCCAUGACCCGGCGGGCAGCUUCCGGGAAACCAAAGUCUUUGGGUUCCGGGGGAAGUAUGGUUGCAAAGCUGAAACUUAAAGGAAUUGACGGAAGGGCACCACCAGGAGUGGAGCCUGCGGCUUAAUUUGACUCAACACGGGGAACCUCACCAGGCCCGGACACCGGGAGGAUUGACAGAUUGAGAGCUCUUUCUCGAUUCGGUGGGUGGUGGUGCAUGGCCGUUCUUAGUUGGUGGAGCG
rnacentral:rRNA from 1 species